rnacentral:lncRNA from 1 species
GCUGUUACACAACAAUACCAACUCUCAAAACCUGCAAAUCACCUUUCAACAUCGCGAAUUUAAUCGAGAUCGAAUCUAGGGCUUGUAACUUGUGCGGAUGAUAACUCCUUCAAUUCUUAACCUUUUCAGAAUUCCACAUAUUCCAGUUCGUGCGUUAAUUCUCGUGGAACGUCUCUUCGCAACCUGUUUUUCAAAGUUGAUGAUCAAGUGAU